GACAGAGAGCGGAGAGUUAGUUUCCGGUUAGCUAUUCCGUGAGAAUGACGUGAGUGCAGGAGUGCAAUUAGUUAUCCUCAAUCAUCUUGAUUUUGGUUUGAGUUGAGAUCGUCCGGGAUGGAUUUUAUUGCUUUAUAGCAUGGAUAUUUUAUCUGGAGAAGAGUUGGUGGUUUUAUUUUGAUGUUCCGAGCCUAUCUUUUAUUUGUGCUGGUUCACAUUCUAUAAUGCUCUGGAACUGUUUGUGAUGAACCCGAUGUCCACUGUUGUGAUGCCUGAAUGGAUCCCAGUGAUUAUUUUACACCAUAUCGGGUUCUAGGUUAUAUUUUAACCUCCACAUGUGUUUCAUGGUUAUGUUUCCAUGUGUUCAUGAUUUGUUUGGCUUUGCCAUUCUUUCCCGUUACGGUGAUUUCUUGAGGCUUACUGCUGUACAUCAUGCGUCAAGAUUAUUUCCCUGCAUUCAUGUAUUUUUGUUUGUAUGCUGCGACUAGUCUGUUUUACUGCAGUAUUUUAUAGAACCGAUGUGGGUUCUGCUUGGAUCGUUAUGAUCUUCUAACUUAGUUAUUAAUGUUCUGAAUUCUCUAGUUUUGCUAGAACUAUUUUGAUAAUGUUGGUUUGCAUUUGAACCAUUUACAUUGAGUUGAGAUUGAGAGAGUUUGAGUUGGAACUUUAUUGUUCUAUUAAUUGAGUGUUCGGCUGUGAUU